GGCACCAAUCUUCGUAUUCUCUUUAAGAACACACGUGAAACUGCCCAGGCCAUCAAGGGUAUGCAUAUACGAAAAGCCACGAAGUAUCUGAAAGAUGUCACUUUACAGAAACAGUGCAUACCAUUCCGAUGUUACAAUGGUGGAGUUGGCAGGUGUGCCCAGGCCAAGCAGUGGGGCUGGACACAAGGUCGGUGGCCCAAAAACAGUGCUGAAUUUUUGCUGCACAUGCUUAAAAAUGCAGAGAGUAAUGCUGAACUUAAGGGUUUAGAUGUAGAUUCUCUGGUCAUUGAGCAUAUCCAAGUGAACAAAGCACCCAAGAUGCGCCGCCGGACCUACAGAGCUCACGGUCGAAUUAACCCGUACAUGAGUUCUCCCUGCCACAUUGAGAUGAUCCUUACUGAAAAGGAACAGAUUGUUCCUAAACCAGAAGAGGAGGUUGCCCAGAAGAAGAAGAUAUCCCAGAAGAAACUGAAGAAACAAAAACUUAUGGCAUGGGAGUAAAUUCAGCCUUAAAAUAAAUGCAACUAAAAGG